rnacentral:rRNA from 1 species
UACGAAGGGGGCUAGCGUUGCUCGGAAUCACUGGGCGUAAAGGGUGCGUAGGCGGGUUUUUAAGUCAGGGGUGAAAUCCUGGAGCUCAACUCCAGAACUGCCUUUGAUACUGAGGAUCUUGAGUUCGGGAGAGGUGAGUGGAACUGCGAGUGUAGAGGUGAAAUUCGUAGAUAUUCGCAAGAACACCAGUGGCGAAGGCGGCUCACUGGCCCGGUACUGACGCUGAGGCACGAAAGCGUGGGGAGCAAACAGG